ACAUAGGAAAGUAAAAACACGGUUCGGUUGGUAGUCCGAACAUCAGUACCCACUGAUCAGUAUCCUUCCCUCCAGGAUGUCCCACUUUCUUAGUCUAAUU
rnacentral:ncRNA from 1 species